UCAAAAUGAAAAGAGCCCCGGGAAGUCGGAACUUCCUAUGGGCAAGAAGCAGGCUCUGAAACUACACAGUCACGAACGUAAGCCACUUCUUAUGGAAAAGAAAGGAUGACUCAAGGAAAAGAACCAAGAGUCCAGAAGGCAGAGCUAAGAGCCACAGGGAAUCACUCUCAGGGAGCAGGACUGGGUCCCAGUCAAGGAAAUGGAAGUAUGUACCUGGCUGGGAUUUCAGAAUUGAUAUGGAACGCUGACUGGUGCAUCCCUCCUGUUUCCCCCUUUUUGAACAGGAGUGUUCAUUGCAGUUAUCUUAUCCCCAUCACACCAUUGGAUGCUGUGUUUGUGUUACAGACAACUUGAUUAUUUCUUUAAUUGGUCUUUAGAUCAAGAGGAACCACACCCAAGGAGCCAAAUGUGAAGAGCCUCAUGUAUACCUGGACCUCAUUUAGAUGGUGAGACCCUGAACUUUGAGCUGAUGCUGUAAGCCCCCCGGUACAUAGUUGUAUAUUCUGAGUUGUGAGUCCUUCUAGUUGUGGCAUGUGGGACGCCGCCUCAGCAUGGCCUGAUGAGCAGUACCAUGUCUGCACCCAGGAUCAGAACCAACGAAACACUGGGCCACCUGCAGCGAAGCACGCGAACUUAACCGCUCCGCCACAGGGCCGGCCCCGCAACUGAUUUUUGUUUUCAAGUGUUUAUUCCCACAAAGCAACUACGUCCCACAUUCAUCCUCAUACUUUGUGGCAUAUCUGUAAGUUCUCAGCGGGCUUUAGUUCUGUAUAGACAAGACCAGAUGUCAGGACCUUGACCAAGGUGAGGAAGGUGCCCAUGACAAGGCAGAGACCUGAGUUGGGUGUCCCUCCACCAGCUCCUCCCUAAGCACAGUGAAACCAGCCUCCAUGUUGUCAGGAAGGAAAUGCCCCACUUGACUUUGUAGAGUACAGACAGCAUACAGGAG
rnacentral:lncRNA from 1 species